GGGACAGCGGACCGGUGCUCACGGGUCUCCUCCCGGCUCGGCGAAGCGGUGGUGAACGCAACGGUGGACAUGACGGCGAAGGUGGAGAACAGGGAUUUCACAGCCGACCUCAACAACAAGUCCUCCAAGGCUUUCCAGGACUUCGAGAGGGAAUUCAAGCAGCAGAUGGCCGAGCUUUACCAGAGCAUAACGAGCUACCGAGGUGUGGAGAUCCACAGCCUGAGGAAUGGCAGCGUCAUCGUCAACUACACGGUCCUCCUGGAGGUGCCUGCCACCGCCACGGCCAACAGCACCGUCCAGGGCAUCUCCGCGGAGCUGGUCACCAUCGUCAACAGCUACCUCAACUGCUGCCAGAGCAACCCCGCCUGCGGGUUGUGCUUCAACGCCAGCUUCACCGAGGUCACCAGCGCCAAGGCUGACAGCGUUGACGAGGGUGAGUGACCUCCCGCUCGCGAGUCCCCCAGCCCGGGGGAGCCGGA
rnacentral:lncRNA from 1 species